GGUGGUGUUCAUAUCACUAGUGGAAAUACCUGAUCCCUUACCGAACUCAGAAGUCAAGCACUAGCGAGCCGACAGUAGCAAAAGCAAGGAUAGGUUAUGCCAACA
rnacentral:rRNA from 1 species